CCGAGACUCGUUACAGUUUCCACACAGGCGCCGACAGGCAGAAGCAGUUUGGAAAUGCAAAAUAAAUUCCCCAAAGCUAAAAGCCAAAAAAAUAAAAAAAUAAAAAAGAACACAAGUCAAAAGGGAUUGGCAUCGUUUUUGAUAAUGUAUUUCAAAAAAUUUUGUUCGGGUGUUAUGUUUUCCGAUAAGGUUGUGUCGAAAGUGUGCAACACGAUGCUAAGACGAUUUUUGUCUGCUUAGUUUGAAAGAACUUGCGCCGCGGGGGAAGACCUAGACACGUGCGUGUGUUUUCGCUUAUGCGUCAGUGUUUCGGAGAUUGUUUGUACAGUUUGCUCUUGGAAACCGUGCUCAAGGAUCCAUGACCAUGAAUGUCGGGUCUUUGUGCUACUCCAAAGCAGGAAACUCGCUUCGUGUACUGUAACAUCUUUUGCAACCAGAACCAGCCUGACACGUGAUAAAAGCCAUCCAAUGGCCUCAAGACCAUAUUUAAUGGUUACAAAGUUCAAAGAAGUCAAGCCUAAGUAAUCUGUUACAGGAAAACACUGAAAACAUCUAAAUAUCUAAAGUAUAUAUGAAAUCUUUGGAUUCUAUUAGUUUGGAAUAAAGAAGGUAGGAGUGACAAAUUAAUGCUUCAAUAUGUAAAGAAAUUUGAGAAAUAGCAACAUUAGCUUAGAGAGCUGGAGAACAGAAGCUUCCAUAGUUGGAAGCUAAUAUUAGGCCCUCAUACUAUAAUUUAAGUCACAAUGUUUGACAGAAAAUACCUGUAAGGUUUUCAUUCUUGUGUGUCCUUAUGAUACUUUUGCAAUAGAUGUAAAUAUAUCAAAUGUUUCCAGAAUUCCUCAUCGUUGUUGAGGAAAUAUGGAAGGUGAAAUUCUAGCUUUUUUUCAAAUGAAACAACUGGAUGAACCUUCAGUCGGGAUCAAAUAUUGAGAAUAUAAUGGUGAUGCAAGACAUGGUCAGAAGUCUUCUAAAUAGCAGAGGUCAGGAAAAGACUGAGGCUUUACCUAAUGGUAAGUAUUAAAGGAGAAUAUGGCAUGAAGUCUUCUUUUGCUUAUCCAGAUAUUUGAGAGUAUAGAGCAAAGCUUGAAUUGAACCAAAAAAGAGUGAAGUAAGUGGAUUCCUUUGCUUGGUCUAAUAAUAUUAUGACAUUCUUGUAUUCAAUUAUCUUGACAUUUAUAUGAUGAUCCAUUCAUAUAUUUAACCAUACAAUUAAUUCAUUGAAUAAUUGGUUAAUUAAAUAUUAUAGCUCAGAGAAGAGGGCCAGUGAAGCCAUUUGUUUUGGGCUAGUUUUAAAAAGAAGUGCUUUGAGUGACUACAAUUUGACUUAGUUUUUCCUGAGGUUAAAAGUUGAUUCCUGUUUAAGAUUAUUUGUUGAUACUGAUUCAGUAACAGCUAAAUCAUUAAAAUGAUACUCUAAAUAUCAUCUUACAUACCUUCAAAAUAAAUGUGAAAAACUGCAAGUGUAUUUUGGUAGUCACUUGCCCUGCAGAAUAACAUGAGCUAGACCGUGGCAGGAGGCAGCAGGAAGGAGAAACAUAUGUGCUGUGAAUGUCUGGGAUAUGACUAAGGUUCUGACAUGCUCUAGAAUCUUGGUAGAAUGAGCUCUGUGCCAAAACACUUUAGGAUAGUGCCUCUUUCAAAAAAUGUAACAUCUUUGCAGUAAGAAAAGUUUUCAAAUGAUGUUAAAAGAAGCUAAGAGAAGAACUUUCACAUGGUAUUGGUUGAGCUCAGCAAUGUCUUGCUGUCCAGACAGAAUCCAGUGAGAAUCCAGCUCUUGGAUGAUUCCUCUUCCUCCCAUACAGUCAAAAUACACUGCCCGUAAUCCAAGGUAAAAUUCGAUUUCCAGAGAGAGUCCUCCCAACAAAAUCGCGCUAAAUUCAGCCUGACUCUUUCAGUAAUAGUAACAGCUGUUGCUUACUGAGGAUGCCUUACCUGCCAGGCUCUGUAUUAAGUAUACUUUACACAUACUGUACAUCAUUUAAUCCUCACCACAAUCCAAAAUAAAGCAAUCUUCUUAUAUUUAAAAUCAUGUGGUAAAAUCUUAAAUUGAUGCAUUACACACACCUCCAAAUAUAUUAUAGGAAGCCAGAGUCUAUGUUUUGUCCCCUUUUCUUUCCCCAGUACAUAGUGAGUGGCUCAUAAUUUGUGCCUAGAAAAUAUUUGUGGAAUUAAAUGAACUGUCGUUUCCUGUGCUUUCCCUGAGAAACAGGUUUUCAUCCAUCAUUUUGUUCUUUGAAAACCUAACUUCGAAGAUCCUAGAGGUGAAAAAGCAUUGGAAAUUUUUAACCUAAGAAAUGUGGAUUGACUUAUCUGUCUUCUUGGCUAGAUUUCAAUUUUCCAGCUGCCGAUUGGGCCUUGUCCACACUGCUCACUACCCUGAUGGCUCCAGGCAGACAAUUAUCACCUUGAAUCUGGGGCUCCAAGAAGUGGAGGAGAAUGCAGAUUCCCAGGGGCAUGUGUUGUGCCUCAGUGAUAACAAACUACUUCAUUGCCAAAGGACGUGCAUCUCUCUGUUGAGGAAAAAUCUCACCCAUUAUGUGUAGGGGUAGAACCUAAGGGAAAGUUUGUACUGUGACCACCCAUGUUUUGUUUGGCUCUAGUUAACACCAUUAUUUUUCUCCUUUCAUGUUUUAAAUGGGGUGAAAUUUGCAAGCAGAAAGGAAAACACAAACCCAAGAUCUUUUACUAUAUUUGUGUUUUGUGAAAAGUAAAUUGAAACCAAAUGAAUUCAAGUCUGAUAUUUUUCUUAAUAGACUAAACUAAAAAUGAGUGUGUUUCCCAGUUCCCCCAGUCGGAGCCUUGCUAUGAUUUUAGAUGCUCUCUCAGUGGGCUGUGAGUGACCUCUGGUCCUUAUCAGAGGAAAAGAAAUUCAUGCUAUUGUCUGACUAUCCUCUUGUUUUGCUUUCAUCUUGUAAACAAGUCCUUCUGACGUUAGGAGCCUGACGCAAAAUUAUGAAGCUAUGCAGGGACGAGUGGAAAGGCCUGUACAUGAGAAGCUACUAGAACUUUCUAAGUAUAAGUCAGACAGCCCACAUGUAGAGAUGGAACUUCCAGAAAAUAACCAGAAGGUGGUCCAAAUGCCCAACAUACACACAUCCAGGGUGUGUGUAUAUGUGCAAACAACACAACUUAAAGGAUGACUCAGUCGUGUUUUGGUAGUGACAGUAUGUCUGGGCCUCUCAAAUUUCAGAAUCAGCUGAUUUAAGAAAUUUAGAAAACAGUCAUAUUUUCUCUUGAGAUUUUGGUAAAGCUGUGGUAAAAAUGGAAAAAAGGCAGCCAAAAUAGUUUGGCAGAAUUAGGAAUAUUCUUUCAGAUACUUCGUCACUUCUGCCUGAUAAAUGACGAAGAUGACAUUUGAAGCCUUCUCUAACAGUGAGGAGGUGGUGAGAAACUUGCUGCUUGUCUAAAAGGUACCAAGUGGGGCCAGAAAAGCCUGAGGGUGCAUGUCUAUGCUGUGAGAGAGUGAGCCCGUGACUCCCGGCGGAGUGGUUCGUCUGUCUGUGCCCGUCCUUCUUCUGUGAUCACCAGCUGUGGAACCUGGAGCACAUCAUUUCACCCUAGUUCCUUUUUUUUCUUCUAAAAAAAAAAACAACCAGGAUACACGUGCAGAACGUGCAGGUUUGUUCCAUAGGUAUACGUGCAUUUGAUGCUAUUUCAUGCUCCACAUCUAUGAAAAUAAAGGAGUUUACACAGUGAUCUCUGAGCUUCCCUGUGCCCCCGUAUCUUGAGCUAGCAUCUUGGUUCUCAGAGCAGCAGUUUCUGUAUCACUUGGGAGUUAGUUAGAAAUGCAGAGUCUCAGGCCUCAGUCCACAUGGACUGCGUUGGAGUCUGGCUUUUCAUGACAUUCCUAGAUGACUCAUGUGCACAUUAGCACUGGGGAGGCGCUGCUCUCUAACCUUGUUUCUCACUCAUCUAAUUACUUCAUCAAAAGUCAGGAAUUUCAACACACUUCCUGAGUGGGACUCUGUACGAAUUGUGACUAGACUGUUUAAUCUGUAAUUAAAAUGUUAACAAAUAAUGUAUGUGUAAGAGAGUGUGUGUAUGUGAGGUGGGGGAAAGAGAAAGAAGAUAGCGAUAUUUAUUCAGAAUGGAAAAUUUGCUUGAUUCUUAAAAUACUGAUUAAAAUUUUUUAGCUCUUUUUUCUCCCUUAGAAUGGAAAAUUAACUAUGUUUUUGGUUAGAAUGGAGAAAGCCCUGUGCUUAGGGGGCAAAUGUAUUUGAGAAAGUAGAA